rnacentral:rRNA from 1 species
UCUUCCUACGGGGGGCAGCAGUGGGGAAUAUUGGGCAAUGGGCGCAAGCCUGACCCAGCAACGCCGCGUGAAGGAAGAAGGCCCUCGGGUUGUAAACUUCUUUUGUCAGGGACGAAGCAAGUGACGGUACCUGACGAAUAAGCCACGGCUAACUACGUGCCAGCAGCCGCGGUAAUACGUAGGUGGCAAGCGUUAUCCGGAUUUACUGGGUGUAAAGGGCGUGUAGGCGGGGAAGCAAGUCAGAUGUGAAAUUCC